GUCAGCAAUGGCGGUCGAAAAGAAUGGUAAAGUGCAAAGAAUACUGUUUGUUCGUGGAUUGGUGUUUGUGACUGAAUCCAUCGAUGUUACUAAUUAUUUGAAGAAAUCUGGGGAGUCAGCACCCUGCUGAAUUGUAGUAAACGAGACAUCCAAUCUACUAGACCAUACAAAGACGUUGGAUUUUCUAUUUCAUAGUUAUUGAAAUCAUAAUGAGAAUGAAGUACUGCCACUAAGUCGUACUGGAUAUGUUGCAAGGAGCUGUUCUCAAAACAUUGGGUGACAAAGAAUUCACUUUUACAAAAAUCGAGCAGGAUAUUAAAGACAGCGAACUAUAGAACAAAUAUGGCGAAGCUGAAUGAAAUCUAUGUUUAAUUUUAUUAUUGAAAAAAAUUAUGAUCUUCAGAGUUAAUGUUAGUUUUUAUUGUUGUUUUCAAAUACCUGUAAAAUAAACCUAAUUCUUAAAUUAAUUUCAUGUGUAUUUCUUUUGCAAGUAUUACAGUUCAUAAUACUUCAAACAAGUUGAAAUUUGAUACUUGUUAAUUUAUGUGGGAUAUGUUCAUAAUAAUUUUAUAAUUUAAAUAACUCAUUGUCAUCAUAUGAGCAUAAUCUAAAA